GGCUCAGGCGGGGGUGUGGAGGGAGGGGAAGGAGCGGGCAAGGAGGAGCAGGUUGUACCGAGCCUCACCCGCCCGGUUUGCCCCAGCUCGCUGGUGUCCCGCGGCCCUCGUCUGGGUGAGAGCUGAGCCGGGAGCCUGGCAGAGCUCCUCUGUCCCCUGGGCAUCUCUGGGCCUUACUGUCUUGUGGAGACCGCGGGUAGCUACCCUUGCUUGGAGCCACCCGCGGUGUCCCACUGAGAGCCCUGUGACAGAAGAGAGAUACCCAAAAAUCCGACCCCGCUCCCUGCUGUGCUGUGGAAGGACCAAAUGUCCUUUCUGCACCACUUUGCAGAGACACGUUGAAGACUUUUAGGGCCAAACCCGGCCUUUUUCUUUGGGCUAGUUCUAGUUUGAUUCUUGGGGUGGGUUGUUUGUUUUUCACUUUGUUUUGUUUUUCUUUUAGCUGCUCCUGCUCUCUUCCACCGGGGCCACUCUAGCCACUGGCCUUUGCCGCAAAAGCGAUAGAAAUUUGAGAGAAGCUGCAGCCAGCCUUCAGUAACAGAUAGCUUUGUCCUAAUGAAAAGAAAGAGCUCAGUAGGUGACCUUGCUUUCCUGCACACACAAGAAAUUAGCUCUGUGUAUGAAGCAGGUUUAUGGACCUUCUAAAGAAGACUGGAAAAUGAGAGAAACUUUUAUGUUCUCAUCUUUUUCCUUUUCAGAAUUAGUAGAUGGUACUGAAAAUAACAAAGUGCAAAAAAAUGUUCUGGAAUAGCUGUGGGGUUUAUGUGAGUGUGCAAUAAACAAAACUGUUACUACUUCA